rfam:Sphaerochaeta globosa str. Buddy, complete genome.
AAGCAUGUGAGUGCUUGUGUGAAGGAAGCCGACGGCAAAGUCCCGAGCCAACGAACAGAAACCGGAUACAAGGCCGGUUGACAGGAUGAGUCCGCGAAAAAGUGACGAAAUCCAACCGCGAAGUCAACAGGUAAAUCCAGUGGCCGCAUGGGAUGAAAGUUAUUGCC